UACGGAGGGUGCAAGCGUUAUCCGGAUUCACUGGGUUUAAAGGGUGCGUAGGCGGAUAGGUAAGUCCGUGGUGAAAUCUCCGAGCUUAACUCGGAAACUGCCAUGGAUACUAUUUGUCUUGAAUACUGUGGAGGUGAGCGGAAUAUGUCAUGUAGCGGUGAAAUGCUUAGAGAUGACAUAGAACACCAAUUGCGAAGGCAGCUCACUGCGCAGUUAUUGACGCUGAGGCACGAAAGCGUGGGGAUCAAACAGG
rnacentral:rRNA from 1 species